UACGUAGGGUGCGAGCGUUGUCCGGAAUUAUUGGGCGUAAAGAGCUCGUAGGCGGUUUGUUGCGUCUAUCGUGAAAACCUGCAGCUUAACUGUGGGCUUGCGGUGGAUACGGGCAGACUUGAGUUCGGUAGGGGAGACUGGAAUUCCUGGUGUAGCGGUGAAAUGCGCAGAUAUCAGGAGGAACACCGGCGGCGAAGGCGGGUCUCUGGGCCGAUACUGACGCUGAGGAGCGAAAGCGUGGGGAGCGAACAGG
rnacentral:rRNA from 1 species